rnacentral:rRNA from 1 species
ACGAACGCUGGCGGCGUGCUUAACACAUGCAAGUCGAACGGAAAGGCCCUGCUUUUGUGGGGUGCUCGAGUGGCGAACGGGUGAGUAACACGUGAGUAACCUGCCCUUGACUUUGGGAUAACUUCAGGAAACUGGGGCUAAUACCGGAUAGGAGCUCCUGCUGCAUGGUGGGGGUUGGAAAGUUUCGGCGGUUGGGGAUGGACUCGCGGCUUAUCAGCUUGUUGGUGGGGUAGUGGCUUACCAAGGCUUUGACGGGUAGCCGGCCUGAGAGGGUGACCGGCCACAUUGGGACUGAGAUACGGCCCAGACUCCUACGGGAGGCAGCAGUGGGGAAUAUUGCACAAUGGGCGGAAGCCUGAUGCAGCAACGCCGCGUGCGGGAUGACGGCCUUCGGGUUGUAAACCGCUUGCGCCUGUGACGAAGCGUGAGUGACGGUAAUGGGUAAAGAAGCACCGGCUAACUACGUG